GCCGCGGUGGCGGAAUUUGGUAUACGCGCUACCUUGAGGUGGUAGUGGGGGUAACUCCUUGGAGGUUCAAGUCCUCUCCGCGGCACCA
rnacentral:tRNA from 1 species